AGACCUUGAAGAUUUGUUGUUCAAGGAGAAACUGAAGAGCAAGAAGGAAAGUGAGAGCCAGCAAUACCAGCAGAGCCAGGUCUGAGCUGGGAGAAGGGGAGAAAGUUUGUGAAGGGGAGAUCGGUGACCUGGGCUCCUUAUGUGCCUGAAAGAGUUUGAGUUUCCUGUUAACUCCAAAUCAACAGUAUUUUCAACAAGAAAUGUGCAAUUGAGAUCAAGUGCUGUUUAAGUGCAGCUAGGAUUUCCACAGGCAGACACUUGUAGUGAAUAGAGUUAUGGAGCAGCAAAAGCACAGAUCUAUUUGGAAAAAGAGAAAAAAUGCAUUGUAUUUUGUUUCAAUUAUAAAAUACCAUCCUCUAAAAGGUGGUUCUAAAUUACAAAGGACUUUGAUUUCUAG
rnacentral:lncRNA from 1 species